rnacentral:rRNA from 1 species
CCUACGGGGUGCAGCAGUGGGGAAUAUUGGACAAUGGGCGAAAGCCUGAUCCAGCCAUGCCGCGUGUGUGAAGAAGGCCUUCGGGUUGUAAAGCACUUUCAGUGGGGAAGAAAGCCUUGGGGCUAAUACCCUCGAGGAAGGACAUCACCCACAGAAGAAGCACCGGCUAACUCCGUGCCAGCAGCCGCGGUAAUACGGAGGGUGCGAGCGUUAAUCGGAAUUACUGGGCGUAAAGCGCGCGUAGGCGGUCUGAUAAGCCGGUUGUGAAAGCCCCGGGCUCAACCUGGGAACGGCAUCCGGAACUGUCAGGCUAGAGUGCAGGAGAGGAAGGUAGAAUUCCCGGUGUAGCGAUGAAAUGCGUAGAGAUCGGGAGGAAUACCAGUGGCGAAGGCGGUCUUCUGGACUGACACUGACGCUGAGGUGCGAAAGCGUGGGUAGCAAACAGGAUUAGAUACCCCAGUAGUC